AUUGAACGCUGGCGGCAGGCUUAACACAUGCAAGUCGAGCGGAGCGGCGGACGGGUGAGUAAUGCUUAGGAAUCUGCCUGGUAGUGGGGGAUAACGUCCGGACAGGGGCGCUAAUACCGCAUACUAUUAGAUGAGCCUAGGUCGGUUUAGCUAGUUGGUGGGGUAAAGGCCUACCAAGGCGACGAACCGUAACUGGUCUGAGAGGAUGAUCAGUCAAAUGGGAAUGAGGAACGGCCCAGGCUCCUACGGGAGGCGGCAGUGGGAAGUAUUGGAAAUGGGGCGAAAGCCUAAUCCAGCCAUGCGGCGUUUGUGAAGAAGUCCUUUGGUUUUAAAGGCACUUUAAGUUGGGAGGCGUUACCAACAGAAUAAGCACCGGCUAACUUCGUGCCAGCAGCCGCGGUAAUAC
rnacentral:rRNA from 1 species